UGUGGGCAAAGUGAGUGGGAUCAAACAUUAUGUCAACAUAUGAAACAUUGGGAAAUCUCAUGCCUUUGCCCACGAA
rnacentral:pre_miRNA from 1 species